CCUACGGGAGGCAGCAGUGAGGAAUAUUGGUCAAUGGACGAGAGUCUGAACCAGCCAAGUAGCGUGAAGGAUGACUGCCCUAUGGGUUGUAAACUUCUUUUAUAUGGGAAUAAAAUGUUCCACGUGUGGGUUUUUGUAUGUACCAUAUGAAUAAGGAUCGGCUAACUCCGUGCCAGCAGCCGCGGUAAUACGGAGGAUCCGAGCGUUAUCCGGAUUUAUUGGGUUUAAAGGGAGCGUAGGUGGAUUGUUAAGUCAGUUGUGAAAGUUUGCGGCUCAACCGUAAAAUUGCAGUUGAAACUGGCAGUCUUGAGUACAGUAGAGGUGGGCGGAAUUCGUGGUGUAGCGGUGAAAUGCUUAGAUAUCACGAAGAACUCCGAUUGCGAAGGCAGCUCACUGGACUGCAACUGACACUGAUGCUCGAAAGUGUGGGUAUCAAACAGGAUUAGAUACCCGAGUAGUC
rnacentral:rRNA from 1 species